UCAUAUGCAAAGCAUGCAUCAGCCACAUCCAUGCUAUCUCCUAAAGCAGUCAUUCUGAAACCCAAUCUGGGGAUAGUGCAGAUUAAAUAAAAUUUCAUUUUGAUUUGGCCUCCUGCUGAGAAUGGGACUGCUUUGUUUCAGCCGACAGAACCAGCAAGCCAGAAAGGUCUUGUUUCAAAAAUACAGAAGCUGUUUCUGACCUAAUUGAUCAAAAAUGCUUUUCUUCUGGAAACAGUGCAAAAUGUCUUCUUUUCAAGGCAAAUGACUGUGGGGACUGGUGAGAGAGACAAAGAAAGGGUCAUUGUGGUGAAGGAAAUAUUUUUAUCUAGGCCUCAGGAAACGGUGGUCUGGCUAGUGACUGCAGUGCUGCGGACAGUUACAUGCACAGUAUUCACUCAGGGCAAAGCAUGCCAUCACUUAUGUCUGCCCCUAAAUUCCUGGACUACAAGAACUUAUGUCAAUAUCCACCUGGAAAUGCCUAGUGAGGAAGGACUGUGGAAGCUACUACCCUGAAACAACCCUUCAGACUCAAGUGAGGGAAAAACGUACUGCUGGGAGAAGAAGCAAAACGUAAAACUGGACAAAGAUGGUUGCGUAUAAUGAUUCAGAAACAUGCUUUUGAGGAUCUUAUUAUUUGACUUGGAAGCUACCUCCAGUGUUUACCUAGAUGAUUACCACUAUGCAAUUUGGAUUUGGCUUGCUUGAUGCUGGACGAUUAAUGAAGGAAGCCCUAACUGGACAAAGAAAAGGAUUGACAAUAAGAUGUGGAUGUUCGUCUUUAAUGAACUCUAGUCACCAAGUGAAAAUCAGCUAAUUUUGAUGAUGCAACUGACCACCUUCUCAGUAAUAGCUGAAUAUUUACUCCUUCACAAAAUGACAGAGUAAACCUAUUAACUGUGAACAUGAAGAGAUGAAGCAAGCAAAAAACAAAGAGAAGUGUGAAGAGUUUCGCUGCUGUAUCAUCUGUGACACUGUAUCAGCUCCUAGUUUUAGGAUCGAUGAGUAAAUAGGUAUAUAAGAGAUACGCUGUUAUUCUACAAAGAAGGGUUAUUUCAAAGAAAUAAAGGAAAAAAAUUAAAAGGGAUGUCAGUAUAUUCUCAGGUACUAUAUGAUGACAAUGUUAGAGAGGGAGCUUCAUUUGGUGUUCUUCUCGUUUUGAAUCUAUACAGUGGAACAGUACUACAGAGAGAUCUAGAUAAUAAUGUCCUUGAUCUUGUCAAGUAUUGCCAUAGGACUAGUAUUGUUACUUUCUUGUUGAAUUUACUCAUGUGAGAGGAACCACUCUGUUAUAUAAGUUAAAGGUUCACAUUCUGUCGUUCGUUUUUUCACUUUACAUUAUUGUUAAAAUAGAGAAAAAAAGGGACUAAAGGAGGCAGGAGGAGAAGCAAAAAUAGAGGUGAAUUAAUAGCAAAAAUCAAAUAUUAAAUAUUUUCUUUAACUGCAGUCAGAGAUGGGGAUUAUAUUUGACCAAACAAACAAAUCCUCCACCACAAGCCAGGACUUCACUUUUUAUUUCAAUACUCUUGAUAGAAUGGACCCAAUCAUUUAUUCUGUGUGUGCUAAAAGUGUACUACCAACACUAGUAGACCAAGCAGAUAGUUUUGUUUUAUUGUCUGAAUGGUGUAAUAUUUUACUGCAAAUAUAAAUAGUGUAGUCAUUUGCCUGAUCCAAGUUCCCAAUGUACUUUAUAAUAAACCAAGUAAUUUUGAGAGAAAUAUGUUGACCAAACCUAGCCUAACACUAUUCACAUAGUUCAAUACUGAAACAAAUUCCACCCAUUAAAAAGUGAAUGGUAUUGCAUUUACUUUUACAAGUUGAAGGAUAAAGACAGAAAUGCAAGAGAUGGAGCAAUAAGAACCAUGUGGUCCCUGCUCUUUAGGGGUUCAUCCAGAGUCUGUUAAGGUAAUGUGCAUAUUCUUUUUGAUUUUAACAGACUUUGCAUAAGUCAAAAAUUAUUGAAAAUUAAGUACAGGAAAAAGAAUCACUCUGUUUACAUUUGUUAGGUUAUAUCCAUAAUAAACUUGUAAAAGAUGAAAACAGAAGAAAAUAUUAAAGCAGAUCCAAAUAUUAUAUUUAUUCUAGAAUUCAAGAUUACUUCAUUUUCUGCUCCAGUAUAAGUGCACGAUGUCACGAACAUCAGAUUUUUCCAAAGCCUUUACUGAAAACAUUUCCCAUCAUGGAAUACUUCACCUUGCUUUCUUCUUACAGCUGUUCCUUCUAGAAAAAUGCACCUUCAGACAAGUAGUUAUGAAUAUCAUGGGGGUAGUCUGGAGCAUACCACAACGUGAGACACCAAAGCAUUACAGAUUGCUCUCGUGGGAAUUGCUGGGUGGGAGGUGGUGGUGGGUCAGAAAAAAAGCCAAAGCAGAGUGCCCAGGAGUGCCCCAGGGAUCAGAAGCAGGGCCAAACAUCACUCUUACAAAGAUUUCUGACCUAACCUAGAUUUUCAUUUAUGGUUAGACCAGACAGAUUUUAUUGUUACAAUGGAUUUUUAUCUCAGAUAAAAUCAAACAAGCGAAAGGACUAUAAGAUUAGAUCCUCAUUCUGCAUUCCACCAAAGGAGAACUGAGGAAGAAACAGAUAGAGUGAUUUGUUGGGGUAAGAUGAGCCCUAGGUUGAAAGAGACCUCCUGUCCUGUUCAGAGGCUGCACUUUCCUGACUGUGAUGUAGAAGAAACACAGCUAUCAGUAGGCCCUUGCAAAAACCCUCCACCUGUUUUUGCUCAAAGUGACAAAGCCCAGAGGACAAUGUCUGUAUUCCCUACUGGUCUGUGGGGAGCGUGAUGUAGCUGAUGCAAUUCCCGGCUCCAACACACCUGCAAGGUCUCAUUGAUCUGCUGCUCACUGCUCUGAAAACUCAGAAAUCUAUUAUCAGUGUAAGCAUGUGCUUAUUGAUCAGAUUACCUGCUUCUGUUCCCUGUGUGCACCUAAUUGUACCAGCGUGGGUGCACACACACACACAUAAAUAUACACACGUUUUCAUAUAUACAGGCAUGCACACACAGGUUACAGGGAUGUGUGUAUGUUAAAGGCUUUACUUUUUUUUUUAUUUUAUUUUUUGCUUUACAAAACUGCACAUAAAUAAAAAGAAUGGACCUUCUCUGUGAAACGUGAGCACAGGAACACUCACAAGUGGCCAAGAGCUGCUAAAUAAUUAAUCAAUAGAGCUGUGUGGCAGUUUGAAAUGUAAAUGUGAUGGAUGAAGGUGUGAUGCUUGUCAUCAAGCAGAAAAUGAUGUGACUGGAAUGGAUAACCCACAGUACCUGCUAACUUGCAAAAGCUUGGACACAAAGAUAAAGUAAAGCCAUCAGAAAGCAGCCCUGGCAACCCCUAAUUCUUGCCUUUGACCCACAAUUCACUUUCAUGUCUCUAUCCCAGAAGAGAUGUUUAAAAAAAUGAUGAAGAGAGAUCUUGGGGUGGGAAAGGGGAGAGAAAAAAACCAUCUGAAGAAAUGCUACCUGACAAGGCUGCAGGCUACAUUCUUGAGAACACCUUUCUUUUCUUUAUGUUCUCCUACUCCUGUUAAAUAAAAAUGCAGCUCUUUUUUUUCCCUUUCCUUUCUUCCAAAACUCUCCCGAGCCAUUCCUGCAAGUGGUUCUGUGACUCGGGAGCUGACAACAGCCGCGUGCAAAGGAACAAAGAAUGAGAGUGACAAUUCAGAGUGCACGCAGAUAGUCUUCCUUUGGUCACAAGAUGACAGUGAGAAUGGAUUGUCAAACUGGACCACUAUGACAAUUUACUCUGGGGGAGAAAAUCCUGUGAGUGUUUAGAAGCUUUACUUUUACCAUCGGCUAGAAGUAAAACCCCUACACCAUUUUUGGCAUCAUUUUAGGAAACGACUGGUUGGUUUGCAGCUGCACUGAGACAGAAGGAAGCUGGUGAACAAGACUGACACAGCAUGAGGUGUUGCAGCAGACGACAAUCGGUGACUGGCAGGAAGCACUGAAUAUGUGGAUCAUUAUGCUGACCCCAACACAAGGUCCCAUUUCUGUGAGGCUUGAGGGUGACGUGGUGUCCACCAGAGUGGGACAAAGAACCUGGUCAGAGAAUCUCUGAAGUGUUUUUCUUCAUGAAGACAAGACUGAAAGACAAGGAAGUGUGACCCAGUGAAGAAGUGUUCUCUCACAACAUGGCACUACACUGGCAACUGUGGCUGUCAACAAAACACUUCCCAUUCUGACUGUUGAUACUGAAGUGAAGAUAAGCUUUCAAAAAGGUUAUACACAUCCUGACUUGUUUUAUUUUUGAGUCAUUUUUGACCCAGUUUCUUCCUCUCUGCAGUUCCUGGCAUGACAGAAGACCAGAGGCAGGUGUUGGGAUGGCACUGGUUUUUCUCAUUUAAUCUGUGAGGCACCAUAAAAAACAGUCAACAAUCAUGGAGCAUGCUCUGGAUUUGUCUAAGCAUAAGUGGCUCAAAUAUUAAUGUGUAUUUAGUAAAGUUAGAGUCUGUGGAAUGGAGAUAUAUUACAACAGCAAUUGAAGUUGAAUGUGAUAUAGAAAUCCAAGUAACAGAAGACUAUCUGGAAACAAUUAUUCAGAAAGCUGCUGACCCUCUAUUUCUUUAAAGAGUUAAACAUUUGGAUUGGUUAACUGACAGUCGCAAUAAUAGGCAUAUGCUCUAAUCUUUGAUCCAUAGCUGAAUUUGCAACUCUUAGUAUGAGGAGCAGAUCACAUAAAUUUGCAUAUUUUUAAGGAUCUAUAGGGAGAAAAAGAAGAACAAAACCUGCUUUUCCAAGAUGUUACUUUGAGAUCACACAGAGUGUCACAGGUUCCCCAAGUACACUAGUGUUCACAGCCAUUGCAAGACUCACAGAUUUUAUAAAUGUCCCUAAACCAUAACAUUCCUAUCUGAAGAUGAAUAAAAGUUCCUCCUAGAACAGACCAUCGUAAGCUGAGGGUGCUUCACAGAGUUAUCUGCAUCUGCCAUUAAGAUCUCAUUUCCACAUCCAAAUCUGUGUCAGAACUUUCCUAAAAUCUUAAAGUCUCCAGAAGUAAUAAAUAAAUUAAAAACUUUUUUGUGACCAAAUGAGAAAUUGUUGACUAGACUCAAAUGUAACAGAUUUCUGCCAAGGUCUUGACAUCAUCUUAGGUUUGGCAAAAUUUUUCAGUGUUAAUGAAAAUUCUGCAGAGACAAGAAAACUAUUAAUUGCCCAUGAAUAGAAUGGAUGCUAACCACCCAACUUUUUUUUGUAUUUAAGGUUCAUUUCUUGCUCAUUUCUUUUUUCACCAACUGAAAGAUGUUUACUAAUCACUCGUUUUGGAUCAUCAUACCUAUGGCACAGAAGGUUUCCUCCAUUUGGUAGUAUUCUCUCAAAAAGUAGCUCCUACUGAGAGAAGUGAGCAAUAUAUUGAGUACUGUGAAGUGAGUCAUCCUUGCAAAUGCUCUCAACUGUGGGAUGUUUCAACAUAGUUUUUACUCGAUUUACACUUUACAAUAGGAUUUGUUUCCUGGUUCACCUACCCAAUGUUCUUUGAUAUCAACAAAGAUGAUGAGAGUAGUUAUUUGUUAUUUCUCUAUGGAUACUUCCUAUACAUCCCAAACAAAAAUACAGAUUACUGCAUGGGACUAUGUAGAUACGUGCAAGGAAGGCAAUGUAAAGGAGUCACUCUCAAAAAAAUGUUAUGUCUAUCUUUCUUAUAGUUCCCUGCAGUAAGCCAUAUGGGGGCAUGGAGGUAUUGUAGAGAAGGUAGACUAAAAGCCUGACUGACACAGGAGGUGGCACUUCCAGGCACUAUCUGCCUUGUCCUGUGGAUAGGAAAGACUUUGUAAAGUCCUGGCAAAAAUCGCAUGAAGAGGAGAGGAAGGUGUUGCACGUUCCUGAGUAAAGUGUAGUGAGAAGUUGGAGUGAUGCAGUGGUGAGUGUGAUCAGAUCAUUGACUGGUGAAGUAGAACAGAUGUUACACACGGUAAAGUUGCCUCCUACAGUUUAUUCCGUUUCAACUUUGUACUGCACUACAAGGCCAUUUGCUAAGAUUUUGCUCAUGCACUGUUAAGUGGGAUCUUAGAAUAUCACUACAUUCAGUCAAAAUAUUGCAAGAUAAAAUAAGAAUACCUGUAGGUUAUGAAAAUGAGACGACCAAGGAAGAAGCAUUUCUAUUUACACCACAUAAAGAAGAAAAUCUGGAAAUCAUUUCAGUAAAACCAGACUAGAAAUGGGAUGUCUGGGAGGCAUUGUCGUUAUUGUGGACUACAGUAAAAGAAAAAUAUAUAUCAAAUCUGAAUGACUUACCUUAAAUCAAAAAUGUUAAUGAACCAAGACAUUAACAAUGAGAUAAUAUCACCUUAGUGGCUUGGUCUAAUGCAAUUGCCCAUGCUCCUUCUGUAGUGAAGAAACUCCACCAGUAACAGAAACUUAUUUUCCUAUAGCCAUCUGAGAUAUCAUCCAAAAAUGGCCAUAUGAAAUAGUUAACAAAGUGAGAUCUGCAGGUGCCAUCCACAGCAGACAGGGAAAGAAAAGAGUUACCUGAGACAAGACUGCCAAUUCUAAGACAACUACAGCACACUGUAAUUAAUCCUGCUCUGCAAAUUCCCAAACUCUAGGAAACUAAGGGUCCAAUUAAUUUACAAGGGUUUUUUUUCAUUUAUUUAACCAGAUGUAAUAGGGAUGAGCAUGCCUGUUUGUAUCUUGACAUAGAUUUCACAGGCUGGAAUUCAACUGGCAGCUCUGGAAUUAUGAAUCUUGAGACAUAUUUUGCAUCACCUUAGGAAGGUUAGGAAGCUCAGGGUCUUUCAUCUAUUCACAAAAGCCCAUAAGAAAUAAAGAUGUUUGGUAUCAGAUUUUAAUUCUUCAUUUGAAAUAAAAAAGUUAGUGAAAUAUGGAUACCCAGCACCCUUUCUGAAAGAUAGGACAGCCUUAACAACAGCUUGAAUACUUUUCUCAUUGAUGGAUGAAGUCAUGGAACUGGUUUCAGCUAUAAUUUCUGUGUCUGUGCCUUAGGCAAUUAUAGUUAACAUUGAUCUCAUAUCCAUACCAUAUAGAAGGGAUGUUCUUCUGUGUCUCAAAUCAGAUCUAUAUAUCUUUAGUACUGCAAUGCAAAUUAAGCUAAUAUUUGGGGUUUAGUUUUAUAAACAGACAAAGUAAUGGCCAUCAAAAUUUCUUGAAAUAAGUUUUUUGUGAAAUAAGUAGUGUUUGUUAACAUGUGCUUUCAUAAAACUGACCUUCUUUUGAAACAUCUGAAGGCCAGUUUACACUGGUCAGAGAAUAAAACAGGGCAUGAAGAGUA